rnacentral:rRNA from 1 species
ACAGGGAUUGCCCUAGUAACGGCGAGUGAAGCGGCAACAGCUCAAAUUUGAAAGCUGGCUCCGGCCCGCAUUGUAAUUUGCAGAGGAUGCUUCUGGUGAGGUGCCUUCCGAGUUCCCUGGAACGGGACGCCAUAGAGGGUGAGAGCCCCGUAUGGAUGGACACCAAACCUGUGUGAAGCUCCUUCAACGAGUCGAGUAGUUUGGGAAUGCUGCUCUAAAUGGGAGGUAAAUCUCUUCUAAAGCUAAAUACCGGCCAGAGACCGAUAGCGCACAAGUAGAGUGAUCGAAAGAUGAAAAGCACCUUGAAAAGGGGGUUAAACAGUACGUGAAAUUGUUGAAAGGGAAGCGCUUGUGACCAGACUUGCGCCGGGCAGCUCAUCAGGGGUUCUCCCCUGUGCACUCUGCCCGGCUCAGGCCAGCAUCGGUUCUCGUGGGAGGAUAAGAACGGUUGGAACGUGGCCCCCCUCCGGGGGGGUGUUAUAGCCUACCGUACGAUACUCCCGUGGGGACCGAGGUUCGCGCUCCGCAAGGAUGCUGGCGUAAUGGUCAUCAGCGACCCGUCU